UGAGGAAUAUUGCACAAUGGAGGAAACUCUGAUGCAGCCAUGCCGCGUGAGUGAUGAAGGCCUUCGGGUUGUAAAACUCUUUCGCAAGGGAAGAUAAUGACGGUACCUUGAUAAGAAGCCCCGGCUAACUUCGUGCCAGCAGCCGCGGUAAUACGAAGGGGGCAAGCGUUGUUCGGAAUUACUGGGCGUAAAGAGUACGUAGGUGGAUUGGAAAGUUAGAUGUGAAAGCCCAGGGCUCAACCUUGGAACUGCAUUUAAAACUAUCAAUCUAGAGUCAGCUAGGGGACGAUGGAAUUCCAUGUGUAGCGGUGAAAUGCGUAGAUAUAUGGAGGAACACCAGAGGCGAAGGCGAUCGUCUGGGGCUGUACUGACACUGAGGUACGAAAGCGUGGGGAGCAAACAGGAUUAGAUACCCCCGUAGUCC
rnacentral:rRNA from 1 species